CAAAUCGAUAACGUCAAACAAUCGGAACUUCUAACUCAUAAACCAAAUAAGCAGCUGUAACAACUAUGAACAUGUAAACAACAAAGAUCGGGCCCUGGUCCGGGCAUUUUGCCAUUAGAUGGCCAUAAGCCUGUGCCGGCUGUUAUGCCAACUCUCCCCAUCAAAGAAAAUUUAGCCGGGCAUUUCUCUCUUCAGAUACGGCAUAUAAUUGGUUUCAUUUCUUAUCGUUAUUAACAUUUAAUCUUAUUUCUUAUUCCCCUGCAGGUUAUCUUCAAGCUGUUAUAUAUAAUUUCGUGCUCGGCAAAAUUUCAGGCAUUUUUAACCAGAAUACAUUUUUUUGUUGGCGACCUUCAUACAAUACCGGAGACUAAAAAAAAACGGCCAGAAGUUAUUGCCAGUCAAAAAAGGAAAGGGAAACAAGGGGAGAAAUAUAAACACAGACGCAAUAAUCUUUGGGCCCUUUCCUUCCCGGUUCGCACUUUCGGAAAUUUACUUAAUUUAAAUUAGUCGUGAGUAUUUUUAUGUUUUUAAUAACAAAAAAAAUCGGUUCUCUUUCAGGGAGCACAAUGGGAAGUCUGCGUCUGACUCUGCCGUUUACUCAGGCGAGUAGUCACGAAAUGAAACAGACUCACUCGGACGAUGUGGGCGUGGUCUCGCCCGUGGCCGCCGCAAAAAAUAAAUAUCCAACUUCAAAAAUUCUUAACUGCGAGCCGGUACGUCCGCUGUGGACCGCUGACAAAGUCGAAUUCUCCGUACAUUUGGGCAGCAACAUCAUCGGUGCAUACAUUGGCGAGGCGGGCACCGUUGCUACCCAUCUGCACAGCUGCAUUUUUUUGGGUCAAUGGCCCAAAUGACGGUUAAAGGCAUAUCCAAGGGCAUGCGAUCCACUUUUCUCAUAUUUUUAUUAACAGCGAACCGGGCGGCCAAUAGCAAUCGUGGCGCCGUGGAUCGCAAGUCUGGAGUAUCCACCCUUCAAAAAUUUGAGCUCCGUUGCCGGCCCAGCUUGACCCCGCAUACUCUGACCAUAUGACAAAAAGAUAUCGGCAUGGCCGAUAAUAUCGCACGCAACCAACUAAGUAAACCCUCGGUGCUGCCGAUAACGUCAAAUGCUAUAACUGACAAAUUUGUAUAUAUUUUUCGAAAAUGUUUCCCACAUGAUCUUGAUAAAUGUGCUCUAUAUUAAGUUGGUCUUGAUUGAAUAUUAUUAUUAAAUUGACAAUAUCGCGCCCAAGAUGUUUUGGUAUGCGUGUAUACGUUUGACAUAAAUAAAAUGAGUCGAUGUUUUUAUGUCGACCCAUACAAGAGUAUGAACAUA